CCCGUGAAAUUAAUCCCCUAUACAGUAUUACAUUGCUUUGAAUUAUUGCUUAUCUUCUCUCCAUCAAGUAUUUUAAAGGGAUUUGACAGGGGAGGAAGGAUUAGAAGACCAGUACUGACCAAGAGAAGAAGAAGAGUCCAUUGCCAAGCUUUGUCCAGCAGCCAAUAUCUGAUAAUGGAGCAGAAGAUGAGACUGACCUCAACUUGUUAACAAGACUGGAGAUGAAGGACUAACUACUGUCUAACCUGAAAUCUUUGUUUCUUUUUUUGUUAAUGGGUAGGGGUUUAUGCUGGCAUUGAUCCUGUUUCCAAAAGCAGCUCGCCAUGUUUCUGUGAGAGUCCAAAGAGAUCAGCUAGAACCUGAAAAUAAAGACAGACUGCCAUCAAUUUUGUUUCUUUGACAGCAGACAAAUAUGCUUCAACAAUAGUGCAGAGAUUAAGGUUUGGGCUGCAAAAAGUGAUGGACACACU